rnacentral:rRNA from 1 species
GAUGAACGCUGGCGGCGUGCCUAAUACAUGCAAGUCGAGCGAACGGACGAGAAGCUUGCUUCUCUGAUGUUAGCGGCGGACGGGUGAGUAACACGUGGAUAACCUACCUAUAAGACUGGGAUAACUUCGGGAAACCGGAGCUAAUACCGGAUGAUAUUUUGAACCGCAUGGUUCAAAAGUGAAAGACGGUCUUGCCGUCACUUAUAGAUGGAUCCGCGCUGCAUUAGCUAGUUGGUAAGGUAACGGCUUACCAAGGCAACGAUGCAUAGCCGACCUGAGAGGGUGAUCGGCCACACUGGAACUGAGACACGGCCCAGACUCCUACGGGAGGCAGCAGUAGGGAAUCUUCCGCAAUGGGCGAAAGCCUGACGGAGCAACGCCGCGUGAGUGAUGAAGGUCUUCGGAUCGUAAAACUCUGUUAUUAGGGAAGAACAUAUGUGUAAGUAACUGUGCACAUCUUGACGGUACCUAAUCAGAAAGCCACGGCUAACUACGUG